ensembl:lncRNA
UGAGCAACCCUGGCAACCAUCUUUGCAGGGACUCUUCAGUGGGCACAGGGUCUUUAGCCUGCUAUAAUCAUGGAAAGAAGGGGAUUCCUUGUUGCUGCUUUGGUCUUUUGGUUUCGAGGCUUUUCUUCACUUGCUUCUGGGAGGAAACACUAUGAAGGCAAGAGUGCCGGCUUCCUAAGGAGAGAGUCAGAAGAUGAGCUGCAGAUUUCAACCCUGCCACUACUUGUGUGAACCCAGACAAGUCCUUUAGUAUCUCCAGCUCUCAGACAGGUUGCUUCAGCUCUUUGAGGCUCACAUUUUCUCAUCUGCAACGUAAGUGGAUUAAAAGACAGGAUUCAGGACCCUUCCAGACUGCAGACACUGCUAUACUCUGAAAUUUGGAACGACAGCUAGCUUUGGAGACUGGAAGCCCUGGAUGUGCAUCUCAGAUUCACCACUUUCUAGUUGGCUGAGCCAAUCUUCAGACAGGCCAGGCUGCACUUUAAACGUGCCAAACAAAUGAAAUUAUUUAAAAAAUAAAAACAAAUGGAAGUUAAUUUCCUCCUGAAGAAUUCUUUUUAAAAUGCCACGAGAACUCUCGGGAUAAUUGGAGACAUCCUUGGGCGGCACAGAACCACUGUUAUGGACUGUUACCUAAGCUCAAAGCACCACUGUAACUUUAUCCCACUGUACUUUCUGUUUGGCCGAAAAGAAACCAAGCUUCCUGGAGCCGGCUUCCACUUGGAUUCCAGCUUUCUGGCUCCUGAUGUGGAUUUGUGGUUUUCAACUGCUUGCAGUUUAAAUAGAAAAGACUAGAAGGCCUUGGAGAACUGGAAAAGGCAGGACAGCUGGGCGUCAUGUAGUUCUGAACUUUGACCAGCAGGUGUCUCCACAGACAAGGGAGAAGGUUCCUUUUGGCCUUGGAGGUGGAAGAUGGAUUUUCUAGUUUGAGGAAAACAGUGGCGGAAAUGAAGCAAACAAAGGUAGGUCAGUUCCCUACAGAAAUCAAUCCCAACAGUACAAAUGUUUCUUAACCAACAGCUGGAAAGGCGGUAGAAAACCUAAGCAAACCCCAAUCUUAAUGCGAGGAAGCCGCUGUAAAAGGAGAGUCUGUACUAUCUUCCCAGACAUGAAAGGCUGUUUGAAGGUGAGCACUAAAAACUGAGAGGCAAUUCCCAAGGCAGGUGUGACAGAGAAGACAGCUCUUUAGUCAGGAGAGAUGUGAACACGACGGGAAAAGAGGAAAGAUGCAGUUCUAUAGGUUUAGGACCGGGGAAAUAAAGAAUUUCCAUCUCAGGUGGACCUCUGAAGUUUUUAUUUUCUGUGAAAUGUUGUGAACCUUUUUGAUUCAGGGAAGAAAAGGAUCCAAAUACGCCAAACAUCUUAAUAUUUGUUGAGUCCCACAUUUUUCAUUUAGGAGAAAGCAGCAAAUUACAAGAAAAAUUUUAUUAGUGUAAAUAUUAGGGAGUUGAUCACAGGGUAACUCACCUUAAGGAGCAUACACUUUUGAGAAAAAAGUUGUCCUCGAUGAAUUUUUUUUCUCUACUACAUGUAUUUUCCCAUUGAUUGUCCUGAUAAAACCAAAAGUGUAUUUGCCUGAGAAUAUUGAUCCCAAAUGAUAAUAUAGUCACAUCUGAGAAUGCAGAAAACCUUUAAAAAAAUCAUGCUCAAAUAUGUUUUGGAUGACUUAAAGGGUAGUUAUUUAAUAAUAAUCUAAAAAUGCUUAAACUGUAUCCCAGAACAUACGCAAAGUUGUAAGGGCAACUUUGAUGUUUUAUGUAGUAGCUUGAAUGGUUCCAUCAAAAAGAAAAAUGUGGGCAAGCUGAACAGAAAGCCCUCAGCGGAAGGCUCAUUUAGCUUCUCUCAAGCCCUGUUCCCCAAGAUGUUUUAUAGCAGGGGACUGUGGACUUACUUCGGCUGCUCAGACCUGUUUCUGGAGACCCACGGGAAGCACCGAGACACGAGUAGGUCGAUCUUGGAUAGGAGGAGGAAAGACAGGCACACAGCCGAGGGGGGAAUGCAGAAGGCAGCCCUAACAAAGGGAAGGCGCCCCUUCAGCUCACCCGGAGAACCAGGACACGCUGAGUGUUCUGACAAUGUGUAUUCAACACGGCCCUGAUUUCUAGGUGAUGGCAGAAUUUAUAACUGGCUAAUAGUUUUCUUAUUUGGGAAUAUGUGGCCUGUAAGCGCUCUAUAAUGUUGCCUUUUGGCAUACAGAAUGUCUCCAUAAUGCUUCUGUAUCAACUGAAUGCUCCUAGAAUGUUAGCAUCUUUCAGAGCAGUCACGAGUUGGGCCAAUGCAGAGUGAGGGGUUGGACUUGCUGGUAAACUGUCUGCAGACAGGCUAAGCGGGACUUUAAAAUCGUGAGGUAUGGUACUACCUCCCACUGCUUAUAUCACUCUCAGGUCAGACCUUAUGUCUCAGAGGUGUUGUAUCUCUUCUAGAAGUUUCUAAGGGCCUAUCAUAUCCAUCAAGAACGCCUUGGUUUGCCCUUUUCAAAUUCGAG